GACGAACGCUGGCGGCGUGCUUAACACAUGCAAGUCGAGCGGUAAGGCCUUUCGGGGUACACGAGCGGCGAACGGGUGAGUAACACGUGGGUGAUCUGCCCUGCACUUCGGGAUAAGCCUGGGAAACUGGGUCUAAUACCGGAUAUGACCUCCUAUCGCAUGGUGGGUGGUGGAAAGAUUUAUCGGUGCAGGAUGGGCCCGCGGCCUAUCAGCUUGUUGGUGGGGUAAUGGCCUACCAAGGCGACGACGGGUAGCCGACCUGAGAGGGUGACCGGCCACACUGGGACUGAGAAACGGCCCAGACUCCUACGGGAGGCAGCAGUGGGGAAUAUUGCACAAUGGGCGAAAGCCUGAUGCAGCGACGCCACGUGAGGGAUGACGGCCUUCGGGUUGUAAACCUCUUUCAGCAGGGACGAAGCGCAAGUGACGGUACCUGCAGAAGAAGCACCGGCUAACUACGUG
rnacentral:rRNA from 1 species